GACGUAGGGGGCGAGCGUUGUUCGGAAUUACUGGGCGUAAAGCGUGCGUAGGCGGACUUAUAAGUCAAGGUUGAAAUAUCCGGGCUCAACUCGGGGCACGGCCUUGAUACUGCAAGUCUUGAGUCAAGUAGAGGGUAAUGGAAUUCCCGGUGUAGCGGUGAAAUGCGUAGAUAUCGGGAAGAACACCAAAGGCGAAAGCGCUCUGCUGGGCCGAAACUGACACUGAGAGACGAAAGCUAGGGGAGCGAAUGGG
rnacentral:rRNA from 1 species